UCGAUACGCAGAUCUCCUCCUCCUCCUCCUCGCUCCUCCUCCCUCCUCUCUCUCUCUCUCUCUUUCUCUCAGUUUUUUUGUUACACAUGGUACUAGUCCUGAUUAUGUAUCAGGUGUCAUGUUGCGAACUUUAUAUUUUAGGACCAUGUUAUUUUGUUGAAAGAGUGGUAAUAAUCCCCCUACUUGCUUAUUUUGUUGAAAUUUUAGUAGUGUGUAUUAUACUUGUGGGCCCAUCCACCUACUUGCUUAAGCUUUUGGGUUGAACUUUAACAUAGUAAUAGAGCCCACAAUCCUUCUUGCCCGCCGAUCUUCCAACACUCUCACUUCCAAUCCACAUGUUCCCCUCUUCAGUUUCUACCCCUCCUCCUAGGGUGUUACAUGUGAGAGUGUUGAGAGGCGCAAUAAACCCACAUUAGAUAGGGCAACGACUUUAGUGGUGCUUAUAUACAUGGUUUCAAAUCCCUGUAUAACAUCUCGUCGGAUUCCAAGAUGGGGGAUCGUCUCGCCAUCAUCCCAAUGUUCUGAUCAGCGUCUCCUGGGAUAUCUCCCAUCCCAAGUGUUGGGACGGGGCGGGAUGAUGGUGCGUCCCAUUCUGCCGAAAAACUGAGGCAAUUCCAUCUCACUGGAUUUAUAAAACCUUACUUAUGUGCCCAUCCACAUUCUUGUUCAAGCUUUUGAGUUGGACUUUAACCUAUAGAGUGCUUAUAAAUAAGCCUUUAGUGCAAUGGACCAUGUUUGACAUUUCCAUCCUCAACAUUUUAUGUUUUUCACCUUAUUAAUAUUAUCUUUUUUAAACUUCGGCUAUGUAGUGAUUUUCCUUUUCAGUAUCAAGUAAAAUCGAAGAAAAAGUUAUAGAACUUCCCUUUUUAUAAAUAAGUGAUACCAAAUGCUUCAUAGUCAAUCUACUGGUUGUAAUUGGAUUUAUUCCAAAUGCUGACUGAACAGAGUUUAAGAAAAGGAAGAAAAUAAGAUUCUCAUCUUGAUGAGUUUUGAGUACUUUGUGAGUUUUAGGUUUCUGAGACUAUAAUAUUUGUUCUGAUUUUGAAUGAACAAAAAUCAAAAUUUCUAGCGUUUGGUAUUUGGUGAAAAUAGAGCUUUGGACUUGCAGGAGUAUUUUUUGGGAACUUACCAGAUUGUGAAUUUUGUCACUUCUUUGCUUGAGUUUGACCUAUACACUGUAUAAACAAGGGCAAUGUGUACAUUAAUGGAAAAAAUGAUGGUUCAUAUCCAUUCCUGAAGUAAUUAACAGACAUUAAUUCCAUAGAUGUAUCAGUAUGGAGAGAGAGAGAGAGAGAGAGAGAGAG
rnacentral:lncRNA from 1 species